GAUGAAGAACGUAGCGAAAUGCGAUAAGUAAUGUGAAUUGCAGAAUUCAGUGAAUCAUCGAAUCUUUGAACGCACAUUGCGCCCGCCAGUAUUCUGGCGGGCAUGCCUGUUCGAGCGUCAUUUCAACCAUCAAGCCCCAGGCUUGUGUUGGGGACCUGCGGCUGCCGCAGGCCCUGAAAAUCAGUGGCGGGCUCGCUGUCACACCGAGCGUAGUAGAUCUCAUCUCGCUCAGGGCGUGCUGCGGGUUCCGGCCGUUAAACCACCUUCAUAACCCAAGGUUGACCUCGGAUCAGGUAGGAAGACCCGCUGAACUUAAGCAUAUCAAUAAGCGGAGGA
rnacentral:misc_RNA from 1 species